rnacentral:rRNA from 1 species
GAUGAACGCUAGCGGCAGGCCUAACACAUGCAAGUCGAGGGGUAGCAGGAUUAAGCUUGCUUAAUUGCUGACGACCGGCGCACGGGUGCGUAACGCGCAUGCAACCUACCUUAUACUGGGGUAUAGCCCGGAGAAAUUCGGAUUAAUCCCCCAUAGUACUAAUGAAUCGCAUGGUUUAUUAGUUAAAGCAUUGCGGUAUAAGAUGGGCAUGCGUCCUAUUAGCUAGAUGGUGAGGUAACGGCUCACCAUGGCUACGAUAGGUAGGGGGCCUGAGAGGGUGGUCCCCCACACUGGUAAGGAGACACGGACCAGACUCCUACGGGAGGCAGCAGUGAGGAAUAUUGGUAAAUGGGCGCAAGCCUGAACCAGCCAUGCCGCGUGCAGGAAGAAUGCCCUAUGGGUUGUAAACUGCUUUUAUUUGGGAAUAAACCUCUUUACGUGUAGAGAGCUGAAGGUACCAAAUGAAUAAGCACCGGCUAACUCCGUGCCAGCCGCCGCCGUAA